ensembl:snRNA U1 U1 spliceosomal RNA
UGACUGACCUUCAGGCAAUUUCUUAACCAUACUGAGCCAUAUCCAGUGCACUCCAAAUGAGCUGACACCUGCGAUGUCCUCAAGUGUGGGAGACUCGGCUGCAUCAUUUGUGGUAGUUGGGAGCUGCAUUCUGUCUUCCCUC